rnacentral:rRNA from 1 species
CCUACGGGUGGCAGCAGUGAGGAAUAUUGGUCAAUGGACGAGAGUCUGAACCAGCCAAGUAGCGUGAAGGAUGACUGCCCUAUGGGUUGUAAACCUCUUUUAUAUGGGAAUAAAACGUUCCACGUGUGGGAUUUUGUAUGUACCAUAUGAAUAAGGAUCGGCUAACUCCGUGCCAGCAGCCGCGGUAAUACGGAGGAUCCGAGCGUUAUCCGGAUUUAUUGGGUUUAAAGGGAGCGUAGGUGGAUUGUUAAGUCAGUUGUGAAAGUUUGCGGCUCAAACGUAAAAUUGCAGUUGAAACUGGCAGUCUUGAGUACAGUAGAGGUGGGCGGAAUUCGUGGUGUAGCGGUGAAAUGCUUAGAUAUAACGAAGAACUCCGAUUGCGAAGGCAGUUCACUGGACUGCAACUGACACUGAGGCUCGAAAGUGUGGGUAUCAAACAGGAUUAGAUACCCGAGUAGUC